GGAGGUAGUGACAAUAAAUCACAAUGCGGAACUUCUGUUUUGCAAUUGGAUUGAGAACAACGCACAACACUUAUCGAUAAACAAUUGGAGGGCAAGUCUGGUGCCAGCAGCCGCGGUAAUUCCAGCUCCAAUAGCGUAUAUUAACGUUGUUGCAGUUAAAAAGCUCGUAGUUGAAGUGAAGUGUGGAAGUUUCGCAUUUUCGUUUGAAUUUGUUUCUCUUCUAUACUCUUUCCAAAUAGUUUGCAUGGGUAUUCAUUUAUCUGUGUAUUGCAUUUGGUCAUUUACUGUGAGAAAAUUAGAGUGUUCAAAGCAUACGUUUGUUUGAAUACAUUAGCAUGGAAUAAUUCGAAAAGGCUUUCAUGUUCGAUUUGAUUGGUUUGUUCGUGAAGGCAAGAUUAAAAGGGACAGUUGGGGGUAUUCAUAUUCAAUAGUCAGAGGUGAAAUUCUCGGAUUUAUGGAAGAUGAACAAGUGCGAAAGCA
rnacentral:rRNA from 1 species